AGUCAAGACAAAAAUGUUAAUUCCCUUAAAUCUCGUCGGGGGCCUAAUUUGGACGAAAAACUAUUUCAAAGUUGGAAAAAAACCGGAAAGACAAUUGUGAGAUUCCAACGAUUAUGCAAAUUUAACCACCUAAUAAAUAACGAUCAACUUCCGGUCGUCUGGAGAGCUUCGAAAAAUAAUAAAAAGUGGAAUUCCGAAAGAGAAGAAAAUCAAAACAGCCGACGGCAGGACGAAUUGACAAGGAACAAGAGAGGCCAGGGUGUCAUUAGCCUCUCUGAAAAUGUUGAGCAGCGCCCGUGAUUUUAGUUUUUUCUUUUCUUGUUUGUUGCUGGCAGAGGAUGAGGUACAAUGCGCCUAACGGAAUGCAAAGCUCAGCUGCCGUGUGUUAUGCAACAGGGCUCCUCCCUCUUUCCCCUCUAUAGGUGUGUGUGUGCACACGUACCCAGCGCCGUCGUUGAUGACGUCACGGAUGGGUCGUUGUGACGCCUAAAUUCUACUACCUACUCGAUGGGUUGUGUGUGUGUGUGUGUUGUGUACACACUGUGAAAGCGCACGCGCGUUCAUUGACCAGGUCGUUCGAUGCCCGAGAUUCUUUUCCCUCCCGACGCUCGUGAUUCCUUUUGCAAUCAAAACAAAACACACGCAACCGAAACAGAAAAGAAGCGUUUUAGAUUAUAUCUAUACCUGUGGCCAAAGUCGUUUUUGACGUGCAUUAUUCUUGACGUUUUCGAAUGGCAAUUCCACUUCACGACUAAAAAUGUUUUUAAAAAAUCACUCGGAACACAAAUCGAUGCAAGUUAAAUUUUUUUUCAAAUGCGGAGAAAGAAGAAAAACGUGUUGAAUUUGUAGAACUGGAGAAACACGUUGAAAAUGCACAGUCUGACGACGAGAGAGAGCAGCAGAAAGAGAAGCAACGGGCGAUGUCGGCCGACCGGAGGCGACUGAAAGAUCACUGACUCGCUCCUCGUCGCUAUAUACGGUGCAAACAACACGGCACAACCACGAAGGGCGGAGUGGAAAAAGAAGACCAUCAAGAAGAAGAAGAAGAAACAACAGUAAUUUUUGUCUUUUCAAUUCCUUUUUUUUUUCCAAGAGUUCGUCAGCAGCGAAAGUGGCCGAUAGGACAUCGACCGAAAACUGGUCGGGAUAUAUCUCUUUCUGGUGAGGUGGUGGUGGUGGUGGUGGUGGGGGAAAUGAAAACUGUUAUAGCUAAAAGCUGGCACAAGUGCGUAGAACUGUACCGUUGAUUAUGUGACCGUCGAUCCGCCGCGGCUAUCCCGUUUUCUUUCUAUUAUCAAGAUAGGAUAUAACACAAAAGAAAAAGACGAUUGAGUACCUACUAUCACACUCGAUCGAAAAAUUCAUUGCCUCGUGAAUGGAAGCGCAUUGAACUCGAAUCAAUCCGGAUUUUGGCUUUAUCGCCGAUUUUACCUGGUUCA